rnacentral:tRNA from 1 species
CGCCAAGAAGCUAAAUAGCCAAAGCGUUAGCUUUUUAAGCUAAAGAUUGGUGACUGCGCCUCACCCUUGGUGG